rnacentral:rRNA from 1 species
UACGUAGGGGGCGAGCGUUGUCCGGAUUUAUUGGGCGUAAAGAGCGUGUAGGCGGUUCGGUAAGUCUGUCGUGAAAUCCUGAGGCUCAACCUCGGGCGUGCGAUGGAUACUGCCGGGCUAGAGGGUGGUAGAGGCGAGUGGAAUUCCCGGUGUAGCGGUGAAAUGCGCAGAUAUCGGGAAGAACACCCGUGGCGAAGGCGGCUCUCUGGGACGGUACUGACGCUGAGACGCGAAAGCGUGGGGAGCGAACAGG